rnacentral:rRNA from 1 species
GUCUACAGCCAUGCCACCCUAAAUGUGCCCGAUCUUGUCUGAUCUCGGAAGCUAAGCAGGGUUGGGCCUGGUUAGUACUUUAAUGGGAGACCACCUAGGAAUACCAAGUGCUAUAGGCA